AGUACCGUGAGGGAAAGGUGAAAAGAACCCCGGGAGGGGAGUGAAAUAGAACCUGAAACCAUGUGCCUACAACCGAUCAAAGCACCUUAUGUGUGUGAUGAUGUGCUUUUUGUAGAACGAGCCAACGAGUUACGGUAUGUAGCGAGGUUAAGUACUUAAGGUACGGAGCCGAAGGGAAACCGAGUCUUAAUAGGGCGACUAGUUGCAUGCUGUAGACCCGAAACCGGGUGACCUAUCCAUGGCCAGGUUGAAGCGAGGGUAAAACCUCGUGGAGGACCGAACCACGUUGCUGUUGAAAAAGCAUGGGAUGAGCUGUGGAUAGCGGAGAAAUUCCAAUCGAACUCGGAUAUAGCUGGUUCUCCUCGAAAUAGCUUUAGGGCUAGCGUCGUGAAAUGUGAGUACUGGAGGUAGAGCACUGAAUAGGCUAGGGGGCAUAGCGCUUACCGAACCUUAUCAAACUCCGAAUGCCAGAUACUAUCAGCACGGCAGUCAGACUAUGAAAGAUAAGUUCCAUGGUCAAAAGGGAAACAGCCCAGAUCGUCAGCUAAGGUCCCAAAGUGUAAGUUAAGUGGAAAAGGAUGUGGGAUUUCUAAGACAACUAGGAUGUUGGCUUAGAAGCAGCCACUCAUUAAAAGAGUGCGUAAUAGCUCACUAGUCAAGAGAUCCUGCGCCGAAAAUGUCCGGGGCUCAAACUUACCACCGAAGCUACGGGUUCAUACUUUGUAUGAGCGGUAGAGGAGCGUCGUAAUCGGGCUGAAGUCGUACCGUAAGGAGCGGUGGACUGAUUACGAGUGAGAAUGUUGGCAUUAGUAGCGAGAUGUAGGUGAGAAUCCUACAGGCCGAAUAUCUAAGGUUUCCUGAGUAAAGUUUGUCUUCUCAGGGUUAGUCGGGACCUAAGGCGAGGCCGAGAGGCGUAGUCGAUGGACAAUUGGUUGAUAUUCCAAUACCACUAUAAUCGUUAUUAUCGAUGGUGUGACGGAGAAGGAUAGGAUGUGCCAGCUAUUGGAUGCUGGUCUAAGCGUUGAGGGAGUUAGAACAGGCAAAUCCGUUCUAACAAUCCUAGGGCGUGAUGGGGAAGGUUCUACGGAACCGAAGUAUCUGAUUUCAUGCUUCCAAGAAAAGCAUCUAGAAAGAGAAGUAGUGCCCGUACCGCAAACCGACACAGGUAGAUGAGGAGAGAAUCCUAAGGCCGACGGAAGAAUCACAGUUAAGGAACUAGGCAAAUUGACCCCGUAACUUCGGGAGAAGGGGUGCCUACCAUUUGGUAGGCCGCAGAGAAUAGGCACAAGCAACUGUUUAACAAAAACACAGGUCUCUGCUAAAGCGUAAGCUGAUGUAUAGGGGCUGACGCCUGCCCGGUGCUGGAAGGUUAAGGGGAACACUUAGCGCAAGCGAAGGUGUGAACUUAAGCCCCAGUAAACGGCGGCCGUAACUAUAACGGUCCUAAGGUAGCGAAAUUCCUUGUC
rnacentral:rRNA from 1 species